rnacentral:rRNA from 1 species
AGUGAAACUGAUCUUCCCGUGAAGAAGCGGGAAUAUACAUAUAAGACGAGAAGACCCCAUGGAGCUUUAAACCCAACAGCACCUAUUCUUUUUAAAUCCACUUAUUCUUAUAGUAAGUGCUUGCUUGGUUUUAGGUUGGGGUGACCGCGGAGUAAAAAUGAGCCUCCACGAAAAAAGGCAUAAAAGCCUUAUCAAAGAAUCACACUUCUAUGAAUUAGUAAACUAAUUUUUGAUGAUCCGAUAUUCGAUCAACGAACCAAGUUACCCUGGGGAUAACAGCGCAAUCCACCUCAAGAGCUCCUAUCGACAAGUGGGUUUACGACCUCGAUGUUGGAUCAGGGUACCCCAGUGGUGCAGCAGCUACUAAAGGUUCGUUUGUUCAACGAUUAAAACCCUACGUGA